rnacentral:rRNA from 1 species
AUACGGAGGGUGCAAGCGUUGUCCGGAUUUAUUGGGUUUAAAGGGUGCGUAGGUGGUUUUUUAAGUCAGUGGUGAAAGCCUACAGCUUAACUGUAGAGGUGCCAUUGAAACUGGAAGACUUGAGUAUGGACGAGGUAGGCGGAAUUUGUGGUGUAGCGGUGAAAUGCAUAGAUACCACAAAGAACACCGAUAGCGAAGGCAGCUUACUAGGCCAUAACUGACACUGAGGCACGAAAGUGUGGGGAGCGAACAGGAUUAGAUACCCCGGUAGUCC